rnacentral:tRNA from 2 species
CGCGGGAUGGAGCAGUUGGCAGCUCGUUGGGCUCAUAACCCAAAGGUCACAGGUUCGAGUCCUGUUCCCGCUA